UCGUGGUACAUUACCUGCC
rnacentral:ribozyme from 1 species